AGAGUUUGAUCCUGGCUCAGGAUGAACGCUGGCGGCGUGCCUAAUACAUGCAAGUCGAGCGAACGGACGAGAAGCUUGCUUCUCUGAUGUUAGCGGCGGACGGGUGAGUAACACGUGGAUAACCUACCUAUAAGACUGGGAUAACUUCGGGAAACCGGAGCUAAUACCGGAUAAUAUUUUGAACCGCAUGGUUCAAAAGUGAAAGACGGUCUUGCUGUCACUUAUAGAUGGAUCCGCGCUGCAUUAGCUAGUUGGUAAGGUAACGGCUUACCAAGGCAACGAUGCAUAGCCGACCUGAGAGGGUGAUCGGCCACACUGGAACUGAGACACGGUCCAGACUCCUACGGGAGGCAGCAGUAGGGAAUCUUCCGCAAUGGGCGAAAGCCUGACGGAGCAACGCCGCGUGAGUGAUGAAGGUCUUCGGAUCGUAAAACUCUGUUAUUAGGGAAGAACAUAUGUGUAAGUAACUGUGCACAUCUUGACGGUACCUAAUCAGAAAGCCACGGCUAACUACGUGCCAGCAGCCGCGGUAAUACGUAGGUGGCAAGCGUUAUCCGGAAUUAUUGGGCGUAAAGCGCGCGUAGGCGGUUUUUUAAGUCUGAUGUGAAAGCCCACGGCUCAACCGUGGAGGGUCAUUGGAAACUGGAAAACUUGAGUGCAGAAGAGGAAAGUGGAAUUCCAUGUGUAGCGGUGAAAUGCGCAGAGAUAUGGAGGAACACCAGUGGCGAAGGCGACUUUCUGGUCUGUAACUGACGCUGAUGUGCGAAAGCGUGGGGAUCAAACAGGAUUAGAUACCCUGGUAGUCCACGCCGUAAACGAUGAGUGCUAAGUGUUAGGGGGUUUCCGCCCCUUAGUGCUGCAGCUAACGCAUUAAGCACUCCGCCUGGGGAGUACGACCGCAAGGUUGAAACUCAAAGGAAUUGACGGGGACCCGCACAAGCGGUGGAGCAUGUGGUUUAAUUCGAAGCAACGCGAAGAACCUUACCAAAUCUUGACAUCCUUUGACAACUCUAGAGAUAGAGCCUUCCCCUUCGGGGGACAAAGUGACAGGUGGUGCAUGGUUGUCGUCAGCUCGUGUCGUGAGAUGUUGGGUUAAGUCCCGCAACGAGCGCAACCCUUAAGCUUAGUUGCCAUCAUUAAGUUGGGCACUCUAAGUUGACUGCCGGUGACAAACCGGAGGAAGGUGGGGAUGACGUCAAAUCAUCAUGCCCCUUAUGAUUUGGGCUACACACGUGCUACAAUGGACAAUACAAAGGGCAGCGAAACCGCGAGGUCAAGCAAAUCCCAUAAAGUUGUUCUCAGUUCGGAUUGUAGUCUGCAACUCGACUACAUGAAGCUGGAAUCGCUAGUAAUCGUAGAUCAGCAUGCUACGGUGAAUACGUUCCCGGGUCUUGUACACACCGCCCGUCACACCACGAGAGUUUGUAACACCCGAAGCCGGUGGAGUAACCUUUUAGGAGCUAGCCGUCGAAGGUGGGACAAAUGAUUGGGGUGAAGUCGUAACAAGGUAGCCGUAUCGGAAGGUGCGGCUGGAUC
rnacentral:rRNA from 2 species